rnacentral:rRNA from 1 species
GACGAACGCUGGCGGCGUGCCUAAUACAUGCAAGUCGAACGCAGUGGGGCCGGGUGAGUAACACGUGGGUCACCUCCCAUCCGAGGGGAUAACACUUGUAAACAUGUGCUAAACCGAUAUUGAUGGAUGGACCCGCGGUGCAUUAGCUAGUUGGUGAGGUAACGGCUCACCAAGGCCACGAUGCAUAGGCGACCGGAGAGUGUGUUGGGCCACACGGGGAUUGAGACAAGGACCAGACUCCUAGGGGAGGCGGCAGGAGGGAAGGUGCUGCAAUGGAUGAAAGUCUGACCGAGGAAAGCCGCGCGAGGGAGGAAGGUAUACGGAUAGUAAAACUCUGUUGUUAGAGAGGCGGUAGAUAACCAGAAAGCCACGGCUAACGACGUGCCAGCAGCCGCGGUAAUAC